rnacentral:rRNA from 1 species
CACGUAGGGUGCGAGCGUUGUCCGGAAUUACUGGGCGUAAAGCGCGCGUAGGCGGACCUGCAAGUCGGGGGUGAAAGCCCGAGGCUCAACCUCGGAACUGCCUUCGAUACUGCGGGUCUCGAGUCCGGGAGAGGUGAGUGGAAUUCCUAGUGUAGAGGUGAAAUUCGUAGAUAUUAGGAAGAACACCAGUGGCGAAGGCGGCUCACUGGCCCGGUACUGACGCUGAGGUGCGAAAGCGUGGGGAGCAAACAGG